AGAGUUUGAUCAUGGCUCAGAAUGAACGCUGGCGGCAGGCCUAACACAUGCAAGUCGAACGGAUCCUUCGGGAUUAGUGGCGGACGGGUGAGUAACGCGUGGGAACAUACCCUUUGGUACGGAAUAGCCUCGGGAAACUGGGAGUAAUACCGUAUGUGCCCCCCCAAUCAAAUUCCAUUUGAUUGAAUUAUCGAUCUUAUCAAAUUCCAGAUGGAAUUUGAUGGGGGGGGAAAGAUUUAUCGCCAAAGGAUUGGCCCGCGUUGGAUUAGGUAGUUGGUGGGGUAAUGGCCUACCAAGCCGACGAUCCAUAGCUGGUUUGAGAGGAUGAUCAGCCACACUGGGACUGAGACACGGCCCAGACUCCUACGGGAGGCAGCAGUGGGGAAUCUUAGACAAUGGGGGAAACCCUGAUCUAGCCAUGCCGCGUGAUCGAUGAAGGCCUUAGGGUUGUAAAGAUCUUUCAGAUGGGAAGAUAAUGACGGUACCAUCAGUAGA
rnacentral:rRNA from 1 species